CCUACGUGCGUCAGCAGUGAGGAAUAUUGGUCAAUGGACGAGAGUCUGAACCAGCCAAGUAGCGUGAAGGAUGACUGCCCUAUGGGUUGUAAACUUCUUUUAUAUGGGAAUAAAAUGUUCCACGUGUGGGAUUUUGUAUGUACCAUAUGAAUAAGGAUCGGCUAACUCCGUGCCAGCAGCCGCGGUAAUACGGAGGAUCCGAGCGUUAUCCGGAUUUAUUGGUUUUAAAGGUAGCGUAGGUGGAUUGUUAAGUAAGUUGUGAAAGUUUGCGGCUCAACCGUAAAAUUGCAGUUGAAACUGGCAGUCGUGAGUACAGUAGAGGUGGGCGGAAAUCGUGGUGUAGCGGGGAAAUGCUUAGAUAUCACGAAGAACUCCGAUUGCGAAGGCAGUUCACUGGACUGCAACUGACACUGAGGCUCGAAAGUGUGGGUAUCAAACAGGAUUAGAUACCCGUGUAGUC
rnacentral:rRNA from 1 species